AGCCUACCUUCUGCUGAAUUACUGUUGCAAACCUGUCUUUCCUUGGUUCUCUCUGAAUUUCUGCUUUCCAGAAAUAUUGCGACAAAAGUUUCAGCUACCAUAGUUUCCUCUUAUAUGGUGACACAAAUAAAUACCUACACAUUCUUGGACUUGCAAAAAAGAGGGGCUGUAUGCUUGUUGAGGGCUUAUUUACUACAAAUGGAUCCAGCAGGGCUCUCUCAAAGGGGACUCAUUCUCCUUCAUUAUAUGGAGAAGGUUUAGGCAAUACUAUGUCUAGUUUGAGAGUGUAGAAUGAACCAUUAGUAAAAACCCAUGGUAUAGUAUUAAAGGCUGAGGGUGUAAUAGAUUUUCUUAGAGUCUUAGAGCUCUCCAAGAUGAUGCAACAAAGAUUAUUCUGGCAGGCUACUGGGAUUCUCAUGCAGGAGCUGUUUGACAGCGAGAAAUUGGAUGAAUGGCCUGAAGAGAUGUUUCUGAUGUAUGAAAGCUAUAAGCAUAAGCUGUUUUCUCAAUCUGGCGAUGGGGCAGACGCUCUCAUUCAGGGCUAUCAGAUGGCUGAUGGAAAACAUGCCGUGGUUAGUACUCUCCCUUUGCAUAUCACAAUGUUGCAUAAAGUUCAAGCAGGAAGUGAAUUUCUGAGAUGAGCGUCAAUCUUGUUAGCAGUAGAAUCCAUGUGGAUGGCAGUCUCCUGGUGAAACAGUGUGUUUAUGCAUUGUAAGGGUAACCUUUCAUGAAAAAUCUUGGUGACUUAUUUUUGCUCUGCAAGAAUCUCAAGUAUGUUGAAUAGGCAAAGUCAAAUACCUUUUGUAAAACAUAAUGAAAUUAGAAAAGCAAAUAUAAAUAAAUAUAUAAAACAAGAAGAUAUGAACCACCUCAAAAUAUUGUGGUUUGGAAUAUGAGGCUGGCAGUCAUAGAUUUUCUUGAGGAUCAGAGCUCUCCAAGAAGCUGCAUCAAAGCCGAUUCAGGCUUCUACAGGGAUGCUCAUGCACGAGGUACAUUUUUGUGAUGAAAAUGUUCUGAUUCAAGAAGAUAUAUCUAAUUUUCAUCACUUCUGCUGGCUUCUUUGUCCUUUCUUCAAACUUUCAUAAUUGAUAGAAUCAGCAAUUUCUUCGUUAGUUGCCAUUUAUUCUAAACUUGUCUAACGUUGUGAGUUUUCACUCAAUCUUUACUAGGUAAAGAAUAGAGCUAUGGAUAAGCCAAUACAUGGGAAAGCUACUUGUUGGAUUUUUAAGUCAUGAUGAUAAAUGCUGCAAAUGAGGCUUGUCAGCCCCUUUACAGAGAUAUUGCCAGGUCAAAGCCAGAAGCUUUCAGUUUUUGAAGGAUCUGAAGUUGGAAUAUGUGAAAAACUUUAGUAGUAGCCUGCCCGCCAAUCAAAUAGAAGCCUCCCUAUGGAAUGCGUAUCUUUUGACCUUUUGACUCUGAGUGGUGCAACAUUUCUAGAUUUCUCACUUUGAGAUUGAUCAUAGUGUAUGGAAACUCUAGUCUACACCUGUAUUUAUGAUUUCUUCAAUUCUGUAUGUUCAAUAAUGCUGUCUCCAAUUCAGUGUAUUAUUCUUAUGAUGCUAUACCUUUUCUGUGACAUUCUGCUGAAGAGUACAUUGUUGUUAGAUGUAAAAGUGGACGAGUAUUACAA